CCGCUUCCUUGGUGUAGUGGUUAGAGCGUCUGCCUCGGAUGCUGGAGAUCGUGGGUUCGAUUCCCGGUCGAGCCAGA